UACGUAGGGUGCAAGCGUUGUCCGGAAUUAUUGGGCGUAAAGAGCUCGUAGGCGGUUUGUUGCGUCGGCUGUGAAAUCCCGAGGCUCAACCUCGGGUCUGCAGUCGAUACGAGCAAACUAGAGUGUUGCAGGGGAGACUGGAAUUCCUGGUGUAGCGGUGAAAUGCGCAGAUAUCAGGAGGAACACCGGUGGCGAAGGCGGGUCUCUGGGCCGAAACUGACGCUGGAGGAGCGAAAGCUAGGGGAGCAAACGGG
rnacentral:rRNA from 1 species